AACCAAAGGGGGCGAGCGUAAGCAGCUCUCACCGAAGGAGGAGCCUGCGUCCAAUUAGCUAGUUGGUGGGGUAAUGGCCUACCAAGGCGACGAUCGGUAGCCGGCCUGAGAGGGCGAUCGGCCACACUGGAACUGAGACACGGUCCAGACUCCUACGGGAGGCAGCAGUGGGGAAUAUUGCGCAAUGGGCGAAAGCCUGACGCAGCGACGCCGCGUGAGUGAUGAAGGCCUUCGGGUCGUAAAGCCCUGUCUGGUGGAACGAAACGCCUGGCGGCCAAUACCCGCUGGGUUUGACGGUACCACCGAAGGAAGCCCCGGCUAACUACGUGCCAGCAGCCGCGGUAAGACGUAGGGGGCGAGCGUUGUUCGGAUUUACUGGGCGUAAAGCGCGCGUAGGCGGCCAGAUAAGUCGGGUGUGAAAGCCCUCGGCUCAACCGAGGUUCCGCAUCCGAUACUGCUUGGCUGGAGUCUAGGAGAGGAGAGCGGAAUUCCCAGUGUAGCGGUGAAAUGCGUAGAUAUUGGGAGGAACACCCGUGGCGAAGGCGGCUCUCUGGACUAGUACUGACGCUGAGGCGCGAAAGCUAGGGGAGCGAACGGGAUUAGAUACCCCGGUAGUCCUAGCCGUAAACGAUGGGCACUAGGUGUGGGAGGUAUUGACCCCUUCCGCGCCGAAGCUAACGCAUUAAGUGCCCCGCCUGGGGAGUACGGCCGCAAGGCUAAAACUCAAAGGAAUUGACGGGGGCCCGCACAAGCGGUGGAGCAUGUGGGUUCAAUUCGACGCAACGCGAAGAACCUUACCAGGGCUUGACAUCCCACGAACCUGCCUGAAAGGGCGGGGUGCCCGCAAGGGAGCGCGGAGA
rnacentral:rRNA from 1 species